AUCUGCCACAAAGCUGGGUACGAGACACUUCAAGGUUGCCGUGUUGCCGCGCAAGACGAACUCGUCGAUGACCCUCGUCUCGUAGAAUUGCUGGACCACUGCAACGCGCAUCAACCCAGAGAACGUGAACCCGACACACGAAACCCGUAAAACAGAGUACUAAAGUAACAACGGGAUUGUAUUCGUGUCGUGUCCCGCUUCCCUUUCGUCCCAUCGGAAUUCGUUCGUUCGGGAAAAGGAAAUGAAACGUUGAAAUUGGAGCGAGGGGGAGAAACAGAAGCCCGUCUCCCUGGUUCGUAGGAGAGCUAUAUAAUGCCGGCGUGAGAGCCCCAGCGGAUGGUUCAUUAACCCUCGUCGCGUUGCCGCCGCCGUUCAACUGCCGCCAGACUGGACCGCGCCGGAAACCAGUCGUUACCACGUGCCACUUUGAACUUUUACCAAGUUUGUCGGGAAACGGAACGCCCCAGGAAGAGAAAAAAACUCGAGGGACCCAGUCCGGACGAUUCGGACAAAAGCAGAAGGAGAGCUACGACAAAGGAAACAGAAAAAAGGACAAGGACGAUGAACGUAGUACCGUAGUCGUUGGUUGGUCUGAAGGUCGAACCGUCGCUUCCCACCCAAGAGUCAACCGACACGAAUUCCGCGACGAAGCUGGGUAUGGUGCACUUCACGAUGGCUGCGUUUCCGCGUAUUACGUAUUCGGACACGACCUCCGCUUCGUAGUACUGAGUCACGACUAGAGAAAAUAGGAGCGCACGAUAUGAUUAUUAGCAUAACAAUGUUAAUAGAUCUGCCGGACCGUUUCUCUUUUACAUCGAUUACAGUCGAUCCCCGUAUCAUACGACGUUGACAAACGUAACUCGCUGCCAGCUUUUUUCAUCAUCCCUUUUAAAGCCUAUCCCCAAAGCCCUACCGUUCUUCUCGUCCGGAUUAAAAGAGUUUCCUUGAUCGUCCUGCCAGCCGACUACUUGAACGAACUCCGCGACGAAGCUCGGUAUGCUGCACUUGAGUAUAGCCGCGUUGCCGCGUAUCACGUACUCGUUGUUUACUUCGGACUGAUAAUACUGGUGUACAACUACAAUAAACGGAAGUGGCGAUAAUCAGCCGCGUUGUAAGCGAUGCGCGUCCGCUCGCGCGAUUCUUCCACGCACUCGAGGCGAUUAUCUACACAUGCACGGACUAUGCAAUGAAAUCUGAAAUGAACCAUAACAUUAUCGAUCUCAUUGUUCCCUGGAAACCAGUGUACGCUCGUCGUCGAUGUGGUUUUCGACCAAGUACGACGACAUAUGGAAAACAUGGG
rnacentral:misc_RNA from 1 species